UGAAUCAACGUAAUUGACGAAACCAAUAAAAGAAUAAAGAAAUAAUGAACUGAAGUAACUAACUCAAUGACUUGAACUGAACAGAAACCAACAAAACUAAUCCAAUAAAAUAAUAGGCUGAAACAAAUGGCUAGAGUUAUUUUAUACCGAAUGAGCUCAGAAAUACACAUUGCCACACAUGCAAUUCAAAAUAAUGCCACACAGGCAACCAAAAUAAUGCCACACAGGCAAAUCACACAUUGGACCGCGAAUCGAAAUGUAUGCAAAUUGGAUAGGUGUGUUUGGCACAACAUCACAAAUCCGCAGAACAGAAAACUAGGGUUAAC
rnacentral:lncRNA from 1 species